rnacentral:rRNA from 1 species
UACAGAGGGUGCGAGCGUUGUUCGGAAUUAUUGGGCGUAAAGGGCGCGUAGGCGGUGCGGUAAGUCACCUGUGAAAUCUCCUGGCUCAACUGGGAGCUUGCAGGCGAAACUGCCGUGCUGGAGUGUGGGAGAGGUGCGUGGAAUUCCUGGUGUAGCGGUGAAAUGCGUAGAUAUCAGGAGGAACACCUGUGGCGAAAGCGGCGCACUGGACCACAACUGACACUGAGGCGCGAAAGCUAGGGGAGCAAACAGG